rnacentral:rRNA from 1 species
ACGGGAGGCAGCAGUGGGGGAUAUUGGACAAUGGGGGAAACCCUGAUCCAGCGACGCCGCGUGAGUGAAGAAGUAUUUCGGUAUGUAAAGCUCUAUCAGCAGGGAAGAAAAAGCGCAAGCAUUGACUGUACCUGACUAAGAAGCCCCGGCUAACUACGUGCCAGCAGCCGCGGUAAUACGUAGGGGGCAAGCGUUAUCCGGAUUUACUGGGUGUAAAGGGAGCGUAGGCGGCGCUGCAAGUCAGAUGUGAAACCCCGGGGCUUAACCCCGGGACUGCAUUUGAAACUGCGGUGCUAGAGUGCGGGAGAGGUAAGCGGAAUUCCUAGUGUAGCGGUGAAAUGCGUAGAUAUUAGGAAGAACACCAGUGGCGAAGGCGGCUUACUGGACCGUAACUGACGCUGAGGCUCGAAAGCGUGGGGAGCAAACAGGAUUAGAUACCCUGGUA